rnacentral:snRNA from 1 species
UUGCUUGCUCUGGCAGCACAUAUCCUAAAAUUGAAUUGAUACAGAGAAGAUUAGCGUGACCCCUGCACAAGGAUGACAUGCAAAUAUCAUGAAGCGCUCCAUAUGAAA